rnacentral:lncRNA from 1 species
AUGAAUAGUAUACUUGCCAUGUGGCAUGAUGCUAUAGUUUGCUCAAUUGUUGUACUUGGACAAUUUGAUAAAGUGGUUUGAAUGGAGCCACUUUAGCGUCGGUUCAAGUCCCACCACUUUCUAUUUUUUAUCUUUUGCUAUUCCCUUAUCUAAUGUGGCUUCUUCCAUUCCUCUCUAAAAUCUCUCACAUUCUCUCUCUCUUAAAGGUUGCUCUCAUCGGAGCAUCAAAUGUAUUUCUUUGAUUUCAAUCAUUUCCUAAGAGAUGCGACUUUUGAGAGAAACGGAUGUGUGACACCUCUGUUGCUCUCUGCCUCUGGCUUUGAUUUUUUUUCGUUUUUGUCGAUGUUGUUAACAAUCUGACUGUGAUGAUGUGGUUAUGAGUUUGGAUUUUUUCAGAAUUAGGGAACGAAGAAUGGAUGUUGUGGACUAGGGGUGUGCAUGGGUCGGUUUUGGCCUAAAACCAUAACCAAAAGCACGAUGUCGGUUAAUGGAUAACCAUAACCGAUCGGUUACGGUGGUUAUGGUUAAUCGGUUUUAACGGUUAUAACGGGUCGGUUAUGGGUGGUUAACCGUGUAUUUAGCCUAUCUAAAAAUAGCUUAAUUUUUUACAUGGAAUAAAUUGUUAUUACAUAUUUGUAUAUAUUAGUAUGUUGCACAAUAUGAAAAAUACAUUAUAAUCUGUAAUAUUAAUAUCGAUUCUUACCGAAUAUUCAAAUAAAGUGAUAAGAUAUAUUCCAUAAAUUCAAAUAAACAAUCAUCUAUUAAAAAAUAGUGAAAAGUCCUAAAUCCUAUAAAAGAUUUAUUACAUGUCAGUUCGGUUCGGUUAUGGUGGGCAUGGAAACGUUGAUAACCAUAACCGACUCGCUACUUUCGGUUUUUAGAAAAACCAUCAACCGACCCACCGGUUUUUUAUUUGGUUCGGUUUGUCGGUUAAUUCGGUUAUGGUUCGGUUAAUUCGGUUUUUUGCACACCCCUAUUGUGAACUAUUAGGUCCAAAUACGGAACAACCAGUCAAGUUUCAUAGUCUGUUUCGAUUAAGAUUGAAACAUGCAUGUGUUUGUGGCUGUUUAAAAGACCGAUUGGACUGAUCCAAUUGCUAUAUCCGAGUUUGACUAAGAACUGGUGUCUAACAUGUCUGAUGGUGUUUUAAUUUUUAGUGAUUCAAGAACUAUAUUGUUUUGAUUGAUUUAAUUUAGUAAGACUCUGUUUUGUAGGUGUGUUUGAUAAGGUGUUGAAGGAUGGUUAAAACCCUAAUUGAAAAUAUAUUUUGGGUUGAGCAGAUUGAUCCAGAUAGCAAGAAAUUUCACUAAGGUUAUUUAUUUGUUUCCGCUUAGGCUGGGGGUGUGGUUUAAAGCCUCUAGGGGCUUUAUCACGCCAUGUAAACGCCAAAUAGAUUUUGGGAUAAAAAUGAUGCCCCCUUUAACAAUGAUGGUGUGGGAUAAGAGCAUUCACAUCCAUCUCACCAUAUUUUCUUCCUAAAUUACACUAAAAAACACCACAGUUUCUCUGUCCUUUUCAAUUAAAUAAUAUUUUUUAUACCUUUAUUAAUAUCUUUUCUUUCUCCUCCACUCACAACACUUUCAAAAUAUAUUAAAAAAUUAUAGGGGGUGACCAGUGUCCCCCCAAAUAUACAGAUGAACAGUAACAUUUUCUCUCUUC